rnacentral:misc_RNA from 1 species
UUGGUAGUGCGGGAGAAGGACGCCGUGCGCCGUGUGUCAGCGUUUUAACAGUGUUAGCAUGAAGUGAACUUUUCCAGGGAUUUAGUAAUUAUCUAAAAGUGCAGAUGAACGUGUGUGCUCUACAGCUACAUGCGAAAGACACUAAGAAAAUUUAAUGACGAGGAGAGUCGACGGGCACGAUGUUCAGUUUGAAUAUGCUGUAUUUAAAAGAAUACCUGUACGGAUUCGGCGACUAUAUAGGGUUUGAAAAAUGGUCCGAGACUAUAUCAACAGUCGUGCAUCGGAAUCUGUUCAUGUUCCAAGUGGUAACUGUCCUGCUCAUUCUCUAUGCAAUUCAGAUAAUUCUAAACUAUGUUCGAGACUGGAGCAACAAGGAUUUGCCAGAGGCAAGACGGUCUGGAAAACGCUUCAGGAAAAGGGAUAAGAUGAUGUACUACGGCAGGAAAAUUAUGAGAAAGGUGAAAUCUGUAGCCUCAUCACAAGAUAUGAAAGGCCAGAGGCGCAAAAUAGCAAUAUCAAAAUUUGCCAAGCAGAUACUUCUGCAAAUGAGCAAGGAUUCAACACCCACACAACUUAAGGUGUUAGAACCUCCUGCUGAAUAUUUGGAAGAGGAUGUUACAAGCAAAACAGACAAAGGAGUCCCCCCUGAUGUUGUAUAUAUGUUGCAGAGUAUAAGAGUCUUUGGACAUUUUGAAAAGCCUGUGUUUUUGAAACUGUGCAGACGGACAGAGAUAAUUAAUGUUCCUGCUGGAUCCUUUCUUUUCAAGAUUGGAAAUCCUGAUGAAAAUGUCUAUAUUGUUCAGAGUGGAAAAUUAGUCGUUUUCACCCAAGAAGGUAAUACACCACCAGUGGAGCUAAAGAUUGUGAGGCCUGGUGAGACUGUGACAUCGUUACUCAGUUUCACAGACGUUUUAACAGGUCACACAAGCUCAUACAAGACUGUAUCAGCAAGAGCUGCAGAAGAUUCUACAGUGCUGCGUCUUCCCAUGUCGGCAUUUCAAGAUUUGUUUGAAGACUACCCCGACAUAUUUAUUCGAGUGAUGCAAGUUAUAAUGGUGCGUCUUCAGAGAGUAACAUUUACUGCUCUGCACCAGUAUCUGGGUCUGUCAUCAGAAUUGGUUAACCAGAAUUCUCAGAGGAAGGAAGCCAAAACUCCACUUGCAGUAGUGAAAAAACAAUCAAAAAAUGUACUCCAGAAGACUUCAGAUUUUGCUCAGCAUGAGUUAUUUUUGACUAGGAAUCAGACUGAUAAUUUUAAGGCAGCUACAGAUUCUGAGUUUCACCAAUUUUCACUCAGUAAUCCACAGCCAGAUAUGCUGGAUUCAACACCAUGCUUGCCAACGGCACCAGCUUCAAGAUGUAGCCCAGAUACCUUAAUCCAGUCAGACAGUGCUAGUUAUGAUGAAGCUGCUUUAGUUGAAAUUGCAACGGCAGCAUUUGUGAAAGAGCUGGGUCUUCAGGAUUCAAGUGUUCUGUCUGAUGGAAAAGUUGAAAUACGUGAAGUGUCAGCAGGAACUUACCUAAUGAAAGAAGAGAGCCAUAAGGAUGUGGCGUUGGUGUAUCUAGUCACGGGUGCUUUAGUUGUAUCACAGAAGCUGACUGAUGUUGAUGAAGAGGUCUUGAUGUUUAAAGCCCUUCCAGGAGAAAUCGUUGGAGGUCUUGCUGUACUCACUGGAGAACCAAGUUUUUUCACCAUUCGUGCAGAAACUGCAUGUAUUGUAGCACUGAUGUCAAAAACAACAUUUUAUGAGGUUAUGUGCCAUGAACCACGUGUUGUGCUCCACAUUGCCCAUACAGUUGUUAGGAGGUUAUCACCAUUUGUUCGUCAAGUAGAUUUUGGUCUGGACUGGGUCUUUGUUGAAACAGGACGUGCAGUCUACAGGCAAGGUGAUGAGUCAGACAGCACUUUUAUUGUUCUAAGUGGUCGUCUAAGAUCUGUAAUCACACACAGCAAUGGCAAAAAGGAGCAAGUUGGUGAAUAUGGCAAGGGUGACCUUAUUGGAAUUGUUGAGAUGGUGACACAUACCCCUCGAGGCACAACAGUUAUGGCUGUUCGUGAUUCUGAAUUGGCAAAACUUCCUGAAGGACUUUUCAAUGCAAUUAAACUGAAGUAUCCUGUUGUUGUAACAAGACUGAUUCAUCUGCUAGGGCACAGAAUACUGGGUUCUUGGCAGAGACCACAUGGAGGUGUACCUGUUGAUAGCCGGCCCUCUCAUGGAAAUUUUUCAACAGUUGCAAUAGUUCCAAUUUCUGAUGAUGUUCCUCUUGUGCCUUUCACAUAUGAACUGUACCAUGCAUUGCGCAGCAUAGGUCCUACUUUAAGACUGACAUCAGAUGUGAUUCGGAAUUCUCUGGGUCCAUCCAUUUUGGAUCCAAAGAAUGACUACAGGUUAACUUCUUGGUGUCUUCAGCAGGAAGACCAGCACAAAAUUACACUUUAUCAGUGUGACUUCCAGUUUACUCCAUGGACUCAACGCUGUGUACGUCAGGCUGACUGCAUUCUUAUAGUUGGUUUGGCAGAGAAGGAGCCAACAGUGGGAAAGAUUGAAAAAGAAAUAGAACGCCUGGCAGUACGGACACAGAAGGAGCUUGUUCUGCUGCAUCGUGAUCGCAGUAAAAAGCCAAAAAAUACAGUGGCGUGGUUGAACAACAGAAACUGGGUAUCGGCGCACCACCACAUUCUCUGCAAAAAACGUCUCUUUACUGAAAGGACAAAUGCUAGACUUGAGGAACUGUAUAAAAGAGUCUUGCAGACUGUUCCAGAUGCACAGUCAGACUUCUCCCGUUUGGCUCGGUGGCUUACCGGUACUUCAAUAGGCCUUGUUCUGGGAGGUGGUGGUGCACGUGGAGCUGCACAUGUAGGCAUGGUCAAAGCAAUUGAGGAAGCUGGCAUUCCAAUUGAUAUGGUUGGAGGUGUUAGCAUAGGUGCCUUCAUGGGUGCUCUGUGGUGCAUGGAGAGGGAUGUCACUACAAUGACGCAGAAAGCUCGAGACUGGUCUAAGAGACUCACCCACUGGUGGAGGCAGAUGUUGGAUCUCACCUACCCAGUAACAUCAAUGUUUACUGGUCGUGAAUUCAAUCAUACUAUACGUUCUACUUUUGGAGAUACUCACAUUGAAGAUCUCUGGGUCCCAUAUUUUACCGUCACAACUGAUAUUACGGAAAGCUGUAUGAGAGUGCAUACACAUGGUUCUUUGUGGCGCUAUAUAAGAGCAUCUAUGUCCCUCUCAGGAUACAUGCCACCAUUGUGUGAUCCCUCUGAUGGCCACCUUCUUCUUGAUGGUGGCUAUGUCAACAACUUGCCAGCUGAUGUUAUGAGAAAUCUUGGUGCAAAGCAUGUUUUGGCUGUUGAUGUUGGCUCACAAGAUGAUAUUGAUCUCACUAACUAUGGUGACUGCCUCUCUGGGUGGUGGUUGCUAUGGAAAAGGUGGAACCCAUUUGCUACACCGGUGAAAGUUCCUAAUUUGCCAGAUAUUCAGUCAAGACUGGCAUAUGUUUCAUGUGUGAGGCAGCUAGAGGAAGUGAAGAGUAGUGACUACUGUGAAUAUAUCAGGCCACCAAUUGAUAAGUACAAGACACUGCAGUUUGGCAGUUUUGAUGAAAUAAAGGAUGUUGGAUAUCAUCAUGGUAGCACGUAUUUUGCUGGCUUAAGGAAAGCAGGCUGUUUGCCAUUCCUAAAAACAGAAACAAGCAAGGAAGAUUUUGUUGGAAGAAGUGAAACAAAAUGUGAUUUAAACCGCAUAUCUGGAUACAGUUUCACAGAUUUAGCACAGCUGGUGUGUAGAGUACCUCAGCGUAAAAGACAAACAGUAACAGAUGAUGAAUAUAUAGGAGACAAAAAAGAUGCUGAAAAAGAAAACAUCAAGGAAAGCUUUAAAAUAGUCUCCACCCAUAAUACCACAGAAAUGAGAGGGGCAGUGGAAGGUAGUGAAGAAAUGUACCAUUUGGAUACAGUGGGUGGAAUAACAAUAAUAUGGAAAGGAUAGAUCACUACUGACCAUGAAGAGGAAGCGCUGAAUUGCAGAUAGGCACAAAGAAAAAGAAUGCUAGAAAUACUUCAGCUUUCAGGAUAGUAAAACUUCUACACCACAGAAACGUGCUGCUAGUUCUCUUUCACUCUCUGGUUACAUAAAGGGCAGCAAUGUUGCAGAGGAUAAAAACAGCAAUAUCAGGGCAGAUGAAGAUCAAUUAAGUAAAAUUUCGAC